rnacentral:lncRNA from 1 species
ACAUCGUAUGAAUGUCGGAUCAAACGAUAAAGGAAAAGCACCUAUAACAAAUAAGGAUAUAAGUAUAUUUCAUCUACAUAUUUUAUUUAUUUAUUUAUUUAUUUAUUUUCAUUUUAUUUUAUUUAUAAUUAAACUAACGAUAUUUUUCCAACAAUACAAUAGUGGAGACGGGUCAAAUGGAAUUUUUCCAACAAUACAAUAGCGCUUUGCAAACUUAAAAUCCGAACAUGCGCAUACUGGAUUUACCAACAUCCAAUCUUCGGACUACUGCGCAAGCAGAUCAAAUGGGCGGGUUCAUUUAUUCAUCUGGAGCGUCGACGUCACGAGCACUAGUGCAGCAGACUCCUCCUCAACCAACGAUUGAACCAGAGGAGCAAACUCCUACACAACGUCGCGGACGACCAAUCAUUUUCUCAAAAUAUAAAUUAUCAAAGCUCGUAUUCAGAAAGACCAAAAAAAAAAAAGAACGACAAAAUAGAUAUUAGGAUAUUUAGCGACUUCUUCACAAAACUUGUUAUUUGAUUUUGUCGUAAAUUAUUUUAAUUAUCAACAAUUUCAAUUUUUUUCAUUUAAUAUAAUUUCUAAUAAAUAUUAUAUAAUUCAUAAUUAAAUAAAUAAAAAUUAAUUAUUUUAAUAAAAAAAUUUUUUGAGAAAGCGUACCGGUGGAUGUAGAAUGUCGCAGAUAAUUCAUACCGGUGGCCAGGUCGUCAGCAAUUUGCUCUUGGGAAAUUUAUACCUGUGGCCAAACCGCCAGUCCUAUGACAUCAAUAAUCAAAAUAAACAAAUUAUUACUAGCGACAAACACUAGAAUUCCUAAAAUUGGGGAAAAGAUUUGCACAACUCGGAAUUCAACAUAGGCUCUCGGCUCCUUACUCCCAUCAACAAAUGGGUCAUGUAGAAUGUCGUCACCGAUAUCUAGUUGACAAAACGAUAAGUCUGCUGAAUUUCGCAAAUCUACCACAAUCUUUUUGGGAUUUUGGGGUAAUGGAUGCUUGUUUCCUCUAUAAUCGAAAUCCAUCUACAGUUCUGAAAAAUAAAGCUCCGAUGGAAGUUCUAUUCAAUCAAUUACUAGAAUACAAUAAACUGAAAGUGUUUGGGAGUAAAUGCUACCCCCUGUCUUCGAGCACAAAGAACUGGAAAAUUAGAUGAAAAACCAAGACCAAGUGUUUUCGUUGGGUAUUUGGUAUUCCAUAACUGGAAAUUCAUACCUAUGUCUUGAUCCUAUCACCAGACGGAUAUUUAAUUCCAGAGACGUAGUAUUUGCGAAAAUGGAUUUUUCUCUCAAUGAUUCAUUACAUAAUCACUCUUCGCCAAAAGUUUCAUUAAAGGUGUCAAAUUAUUUACCUUUUGGUUGUAUAUCAGGUACGAGAAAUGAAAGAACGUCUCCAAUCAACAAUGAUAGCAGUAUCAACUCCGACGGUAUCAAUCCACUCGUCGACACGAACUCGGGACUGAUUCAACAACCGACAAAUACAACCGGCAAACUCCACGAAACUGACGAGUCCGAUGUCUUGAUUUCGGAUCUAAACCAACAAACAAAUAAUGAUUCUGACCCGACACCCAAUAUUAUGAGAGAACCGGAAUGCACAUCUGAUCCAAUGCUCCCGAAUGGCAGAAGUACGGAUCUGGAACCGAUUAAUGAUGGCACAUCCGAAUUUGGGAAUGAAUCAGAACAUGUAUUUGGUUCAACCUCAACGGACAGCCGCGACUCAGACAGUGAUGAUGAUAUUGAAGAAGCACCAAGGAUGAGAACGUGAUUGAUGUCGGGAAUCGUAAAGCCUAAUCCUAAAUACUUGAUGAAUGUAAGGCAGCUAUGGAAAUUCCAGAGUGGAAGGCAGCUAUGAAGAAGGAGUUCGACGCACUCUAACAGAGUGAAACGUGGUCAUUAAUUCCACAAAAUAAAAAUAAUCAUAUCAUCAACACCAAAUGGGUCUUUAAGGUAAAAUACAACGACGACGGCACGAUCGAAAGGUACAAGGCAAGGUUAGUUGCCAAUGGAUUACGACAGAUUGCAGGAUCAGACUAUGAGAAAAUAUUUAGCCCGAUCAUUCAUCCUGUUUCAAUUCGUUUAAUUCUAUCAAUGACAGUAACCAACAACUGGUCAAUUCGUCAAAUUGACAUAUCAAACGCUUUUCUUCAUGGGAAGAUGGAUGAACGGAUUAUUGUAUCGCAACCCUAUGGAUUUCAAGAUCCGGGAAAAUCAGAUUACGUUUGUAAGUUAAACAAAGCCUUAUAUGGGCUGAAACAAAGUACACGAUGCUGGUUUCGGCGACUUCGGGAUGUUCUAAGUUCGUUCGAAUUUGAGCAAUCAAAGAUUGAUCCACCAUUAGUUUUCAA